rnacentral:tRNA from 13 species
GCCGCGGCGGUCGCGGGUUCGAUUCCCGUCGGGUCC